rnacentral:lncRNA from 1 species
CUAAAUCUCAACUUGAAUUGUAACUCCCAGAAUUCCCAUGUGUUGUGGGAAGGACCCAGAGGGAGGUAAUUGAAUCAUGGGGGCCAGUCUUUCCCGUGCUACUCUUGUGGUAGUGAAUACAUCUCAUGAGAUCUGAUGGGUUUAUCAGGGGUUUCUGCUUUUGCUUCGUCCUCAUUUUUUCUUGCUGCCGCCAUGUGCCUUUUGCCUCCCGCCGUGAUUCUGAGGCUUCCCCAGCCAUGUGGAACUCACUUACUGGACACCUCCACCUGGAUGUGCCACGACCCUUGGCCUUGCUGGGCCCAGGAGGACCUUCUGCUUCCUCCCAAACCAACAUCUUCUGUGUUACCUAUUCCUGUUCAUGAUGGACUUCUGAUGAGCCCGGUCACCCAGGCUCUAGGUCCUUCCAGAAGAGCACUCCCCAUCAACCCGCGGGCAGCUGAAUUCCCACCUCAGACUCUGCUCCAAGGGCGCCGUGUCUACGGAGGCGACGCUGAGGAUGGCUUAUCAGGUUGGGUCACUCACCCCACCACGAGGACCUGACCUUAAAUUCUCGGUGCAUCCUAAGUGUGACCCAGAGACCGCCUGCGUCAGAAGCACCUAGAAUGCUGUGGAAGCACCUUCAAUGCAGAUUCCUGGGCCCAACCCUGGUUCCACUGAAUCGGGGUCAGCUGGUGGGCCCAGGAAUUGGCAUUUUCAACAGCUUCCAAUUGUACACCAGAAUACUCAAGCUUGUGACUCCCCUGCUCACUGUUUUCUUCAUCCUUUCUCACUUCCUGCUGAGUACAUAUGUAUUUUACUACUUUUAGAGAUACUUUUACAAUAAAGGCAGUCUUGAAA